rnacentral:rRNA from 1 species
AUGAACGCUAGCUACAGGCUUAACACAUGCAAGUCGAGGGGCAGCAUGGUCUUAGCUUGCUAAGGCUGAUGGCGACCGGCGCACGGGUGAGUAACACGUAUCCAACCUGCCGUCUACUCUUGGCCAGCCUUCUGAAAGGAAGAUUAAUCCAGGAUGGGAUCAUGAGUUCACAUGUCCGCAUGAUUAAAGGUAUUUUCCGGUAGACGAUGGGGAUGCGUUCCAUUAGAUAGUAGGCGGGGUAACGGCCCACCUAGUCAACGAUGGAUAGGGGUUCUGAGAGGAAGGUCCCCCACAUUGGAACUGAGACACGGUCCAAACUCCUACGGGAGGCAGCAGUGAGGAAUAUUGGUCAAUGGGCGAUGGCCUGAACCAGCCAAGUAGCGUGAAGGAUGACUGCCCUAUGGGUUGUAAACUUCUUUUAUAAAGGAAUAAAGUCGGGUAUGCAUACCCGUUUGCAUGUACUUUAUGAAUAAGGAUCGGCUAACUCCGUGCCAGCAGCCGCGGUAAUACGGAGGAUCCGAGCGUUAUCCGGAUUUAUUGGGUUUAAAGGGAGCGUAGAUGGAUGUUUAAGUCAGUUGUGAAAGUUUGCGGCUCAACCGUAAAAUUGCAGUUGAUACUGGAUGUCUUGAGUGCAGUUGAGGCAGGCGGAAUUCGUGGUGUAGCGGUGAAAUGCUUAGAUAUCACGAAGAACUCCGAUUGCGAAGGCAGCCUGCUAAGCUGCAACUGACAUUGAGGCUCGAAAGUGUGGGUAUCAAACAGGAUUAGAUACCCUGGUAGUCCACACGGUAAACGAUGAAUACUCGCUGUUUGCGAUAUACGGCAAGCGGCCAAGCGAAAGCGUUAAGUAUUCCACCUGGGGAGUACGCCGGCAACGGUGAAACUCAAAGGAAUUGACGGGGGCCCGCACAAGCGGAGGAACAUGUGGUUUAAUUCGAUGAUACGCGAGGAACCUUACCCGGGCUCAAACGGGAGCGGACGUGCGGAGAAAUCCGCAUUUCUUCGGACCGCUUCCGAGGUGCUGCAUGGUUGUCGUCAGCUCGUGCCGUGAGGUGUCGGCUUAAGUGCCAUAACGAGCGCAACCCUUGUUGUCAGUUACUAACAGGUGAUGCUGAGGACUCUGACAAGACUGCCAUCGUAAGAUGUGAGGAAGGUGGGGAUGACGUCAAAUCAGCACGGCCCUUACGUCCGGGGCUACACACGUGUUACAAUGGGGGGUACAGAGGGCCGCUACCACGCGAGUGGAUGCCAAUCCCUAAAACCCCUCUCAGUUCGGACUGGAGUCUGCAACCCGACUCCACGAAGCUGGAUUCGCUAGUAAUCGCGCAUCAGCCACGGCGCGGUGAAUACGUUCCCGGGCCUUGUACACACCGCCCGUCAAGCCAUGGGAGCCGGGGGUACCUGAAGUGCGUAACCGCGAGGAUCGCCCUAGGGUAAAACUGGUGACUGGGGCU